AUAUUUGCAAGCUAGAAGGUGCCUUUGUUCUUUUCCCUCUUCUAGACACUUUCCUUUUUCUCCAUUUAUUUCCUUUCGCCAUCCAUAUAUUAAAGUAAAGUACCUAAAAAAUAAUACAAGUGAAAGGAAUCAUAUUCUCAUCAAAAGUAUUUGUGAGAAUUAGUAUUAUAUAUAUACAUAUAAGAGUAUAUCCACUCCAAACUUAUACUCUUAGUUUUCAUAUCUAUCAAGUUUCUGUUCUUUAAUUUCUCUUCAGUUUUGUUGAUUGAGUAGUUUUUUGAAGACAUGAAUGAGCAACCAAAAUAUGGUUACCCAUAUCCCGCUCAAGGUCAAGGGUAUUAUCAGGGUCCUCCUCCUCCAGUGAUGGCACCACCAACAUAUGCUGCUCCUCCUCCUCAGAAAAAUAGAGGUUUUCUAGAAGGAUGUUUAGCAGCUCUGUGUUGUUGUUGCCUGUUAGAUGAGUGUUGCUGUGAUCCCUCUGUAAUCUGUGUGUGGUAAUUAUUAUUAAUUAAGGCGUGCCUAGCUGCCAAUUAAUUAAGUUCACUUCUUCUUUAUGCUUCAAUUUGUAGAGCCUAAUAAGAAUUGUAAUGUAAAUUAAGUUCUGGAGGAACAGCAUCACUAUUAUUGAGAAUUGAUUAUCUUGUAAUUAUCAUCUGUAAUUUGAAUCACUAAAUUUUCAUUAUUCAA